CGUCAUUUUAUCUCAAUUAUAACUAUCAACAACGGAUCUCUUGGCUCUCACAUCGAUGAAGAACGCAGCGAACCGCGAUAUUUUUUGUGACUUGCAGAUGUGAAUCAUCAAUCUUUUGAACGCACAUUGCGCGGUAUGGCAUUCCGUACCGCACGGAUGGAGGAGCGUGUUCCCUCUGGGAUCGCAUUGCUUUCUUGAAAUGGAUUUUUUUAAACUCUCAAUUAUUACGUCAUUUCACCUCCUUCAUCCGAGAUUACCCGCUGAACUUAAGCAUAUCAAUAAGCGGAGGAAAAGAAACCAACAGGGAUUGCCUCAGUAACGGCGAGUGAAGCGGCAAAAGCUCAAAUUUGAAACCCUCGGGAUUGUAAUUUGAAGAUUUGGCAUUGGAGAAAGCUAACCCAAGUUGCUUGGAAUAGUACGUCAUAGAGGGUGACAACCCCGUCUGGCUAACCGUUCUCCAUGUAUUGCCUUAUCAAAGAGUCGAGUUGUUUGGGAAUGCAGCUCAAAGUGGGUGGUAAACUCCAUCUAAAGCUAAAUACUGGUGAGAGACCGAUAGCGAACAAGUACUGUGAAGGAAAGGUGAAAAGAACUUUGAAAAGAGAGUGAAAUAGUAUGUGAAAUUGUUGAUAGGGAAGGAAAUGAGUGGAGAGUGGCCGAGGUUUCAGCCGCCCCUCGUGGGCGGUGUACUGCCGACGCCGAGUCAUCGAUAGCGAGACGAGGGUUACAAAUGGGAGCGCCUUCGGGCGUUCUCCCCUAACCCUCCACACUG
rnacentral:sRNA from 1 species